CCGAGUUUACAACUCCCAAACCCAAUGUGAACCAUACCAAACUGUUGCCUCGGCAGGGUCACGCCCCGGGUGCGUCGCAGCCCCGGAACCAGGCGCCCGCCGGAGGGACCAACCAAACUCUUUCUGUAGUCCCCUCGCGGACGUUAUUUCUUACAGCUCUGAGCAAAAAUUCAAAAUGAAUCA
rnacentral:misc_RNA from 1 species